UGCAAUACUCGUACAUCGACUGUUGAAAAGCACAGGUAUUAAUAAACCAGUCUCCAGAAGGUCUUUUUGUAAAUAAUAUAGCCAAGAUCUCAUAUAGGAAUCAAACAAAUAAAAAAAAAUUGAACAAAUGUCCUGUUGUGUUUAAACUGUUUCCUUUUUUUCUGUGCUUUUUUAUCAAAACUCCCAGGCACAGGCAAUACAACAGUCAAAACACAUGGUAAAGUUGAAAGUCCAAGAACCCUCAUACAUGCACUGUGGGACAUUUGAAAUUUUCUACUUUUAGCUUGAAGGAAGUUCAACACUAUCAUGAAAGAUUAGCAUAAAAUAUAAGGUGAAUAGGUUAAACAUUUUAGGGCCCAGAGUAAAACUGCCUCAUGAGGUGUAUCACUGGCAGCAACCAAGGUGCAUUCUGUAGUAGGCAAACAAGUACCAAACCAAAUGAAAACUUGUCAAGACAAUGACAACUUGAAAAGAAAAUUAUGAACAAAAUCUGAAAAUAUGCACAUAAACACAACAUUCAUAGGAGG
rnacentral:misc_RNA from 1 species